CGCAACAGAGGUUUAAGUAGUCUUGUUCAUUUCUUAAACCUCCUGAGAAUACUCAUACCAGCAGAUUAAAAUGGUUGGGAGGUUUUCACUAAAGAGUAAAUGAGUCACUCUCAGAGAACACAGAAGAAGAAGAAGCAAUAACUAAACCUAAAGAAGAAAAAUAUCAAAGUGACGAGUUGUUGAAUCUGAUAUUGAACUUGAAGGAGAUGUUGUUGAACCUGAACCCAGAAGAUGGAAGAUUCCACUGCGGAGGUUACUGAUGAAAACCUGGAAGAUUCACAAAGUGCUAAGGGACAGGCAACGUAAAUAAUUUUGGAAGGAAAGAUAAAGGAAGCAAUUGAGCAUCUUAGAGAGGUGUAUUUCGAUUACAUGGGAAGCUUCCACGUUGAUGAGACUUUUCAACAAGGAGUAAUUUCUGAAAUUGAAGUUAGAUGGGGACCAUAUGGGGAGCUGCACUGUCCGUCCUAUCCUGUAAAACAUGGAUGGAGAUACCCAUGCAUGGGGGAAUUCUAGGUAAUCAAUACGGUUAAAUAUUACGCUAAGUGUCGAUUACUCACUAUUUCAUAUUAGCAGUAGGAUAAUGGGGAUCAAUAUUUGUAUAAAAUAUUUGAUGUUA